UGGGGCGUCGCCAAGCGGUAAGGCACCGGUUUUUGGUACCGGCAUUCGUAGGUUCGAAUCCUACCGCCCCAGCCA
rnacentral:tRNA from 1 species